rnacentral:rRNA from 1 species
UGGGGAUGACGUCAAGUCCUCAUGGCCCUUAUGGGUAGGGCUUCACACGUCAUACAAUGGUCGGUACAGAGGGUUGCCAACCCGCGAGGGGGAGCUAAUCCCACAAAGCCGAUCGUAGUCCGGAUCGCAGUCUGCAACUCGACUGCGUGAAGUCGGAAUCGCUAAUAAUCGUGGAUCAGCAUGUCACGGUGAAUACGUUCCCGGGUCUU